rnacentral:lncRNA from 1 species
AAUUUUUGGAUAAUUUUCCCCGAAUAACCCUAGGAUGUUUUGCCCGGAUCUCAAUACUAAUCAUCACCAACCCAUCAUUUUCUCCCACGCAUUACCAGACAUGAAAACGCCCACAGUUUCAGGCUUCAGCCUGUUUCUACCAAACCUCUCUCUGUCUCCCAAAAUAUUCUUUUUGUAACCUACAAAGCUUCUCUCUCUCUCUCCUGUGUGUGUACUUUCUUCUCCAUCAAGAAAUGGCACCGACUGCUGCAAUGCUGAUACUCCCCUACCAAGAGAGAACCACUUCGCCAUCACCAUCCCCUCCACUUCUCUCCCAAACUCCAUCGCCACUCCAUGUCAAGUUCUCAGCCACGUUGAAACGUUUCUUGCAAGACCAUCCCUCCAUGAGAGCCAAAGCACCAAUGGACCAGACGACGGAGGAUGCAUGCUUGUCUCGCCAGGCUUCUCCUCCGCCGCCGCCGCCGUCGGAAAGGGAGCUCGAAGAAGCUUUCCAGCUCAGCUGCUGCUAGGGUCUCCUCACCCAAGUCUAGUCUUUCCAAUGUUUUCCCUGCUUGAUAUGUGAAUCUGAAUUUUAGCUAUGAAGGUGUACAUUCAUCUACGGUCGAUCUCCUAUCAUUCUUGUUCAAGAAAACCCAAGUCUAGUCUUUCAAAUGUUUUCGUGCUUGAUAUGUGAAUCUGAAUUUUAGCUAUGAAGGUGUACAUUCAUCUACGGUCAAUCUCCUAUCAUUCUUGUUCAAGAAAACCCAAUGAUGUCUUCUCUUUUUUACCUCUCUAAAGCUCUUAUAUAUGCACCAGUUGACUUAGAGGUGAUCCGUAUCUUGUAUGGUGGCGUAGAACAUUUCUGUCGUUCGUUUUCCCCUCCUGUGGAGUCGAAUUGGAUCUGGGUACAAAUUUCCUGAUGGGUCACGUCGGCACCAUAUGUGAACAAUCCAGCACCACUUGAAUCAUAUUUUGCUCAUUUGUCUGUCGGUUUAAGGAAUAUUGGUAAGAAUUUUUGUAAAUUUUUUAUUUUAUGUUUCGAAGAAUUGAUGCUCUGUACAGACUCUAGGCUAGAUGGGUUGUGGUGAAUGUCUUUUUUAACAUCAGUAUUAUUGUGGCUGCUGCUGCUGCUAAAGUGUGAAUUCAUUCAGCAAUGAUAAAGGUUCCUCUUGUUAAAUCAUGCAGCACUUUCAUGUCGAGAUCAGAAGCCCUUCUACGGCAUGUAAAUGCACAGGCACCAACUUUGACAAGAUUGAAAGGACUGACUCGACAUCCUAUGACUUAGUUAAUCUUUUAUUUUUUUCAAAC